CAAUGACUGCAUUUCAUCAUACCAGCACCUGUGCUAAACUUGCAAAAUGGCAUUUUUGGCUCUGGUUUUGGUAUUUUGUGCCUGUGUCUCUUUAAGUGAUUCCGCCUGCUCCUUGACACUUCUAGAUCAAGGUGCAGAAUAUUGUGUCGAUGGCUAUGAUAACUCCAAGCAUCCAAUCGGAAGUACUUGGACAAACAAAAGAUGCAUCGGAUGUACCUGCUCCCCUGGGGAAAUGAAGUGCUGUGACGUGGUGGGCCGAGCGAUUAACCUCUCUCAAGGCUGCAUUGCGAUUUAUGAUUACAACGAUAAAUGCACAUUUGAAGUAUUAAAUCCAAACAACCCCAACAUGAUAUGUUCUUAUGAUGUUGUUGGAAAGGAAUUAAAAUGAUCAAGUAAUGUGUCCAUUUUACAUUCAAAUAUCAGCUGUUUUUGGAUCCAACUUGGACUUCACUGUAAAGAACACAUUGUACCAAUUUUCCUCAAUAAAAGUGCAUCAGCUUUUUGAGUAUUUUGAA